CCUUCACUGAUGCAAAGGAUAAAACUUCAUCCACUGAUAGCGCUCUGAGGAGGAUUCUGAUGAAGAGGAUGCAAAAAAGCAACUUCUGUGAAGAGCUUCUGCUCCCACCCUUAAGAAAAUUGAGGAUUCCAGUACUAGCUCCUCUGAUGAUAAUGAUUCUGAGGAAGAACAAAAAGUUGAAGCAAAGGAUGGUAAGAAACCUUUUACUGUGAAAACUUCAAAGAAAGAAGAGUCGUCUGAAAGCUCCGAAGAUACCGAUUCCUCCGAGGAAAAGGCUCCUACAAACAAAGCUCCUGUUGCUGCAAAAAGGCCACUCCCCACAGCUGGUACAAAAAAAUCAAAAGAGGAAAGUCAUGAA